AACGAACGCUGGCGGCAUGCCUAACACAUGCAAGUCGAACGAGAACAUCGGGCCUGGUGGCGACGGGGUGCGUACGGGGUGGGAACCUGCCCGUAGGUUCGGAAUAACUGCCCGUAAGGGGUGCUAAUACCGGAUAAUGUCUUCGGACCAAAGAUUUAUAGCCUUUGGAUGGGCAAGCGUUGGAUUAGCUAGUUGGUAGGGUAAAAGCCUACCAAGGCGAGGAGCGAUAGCUUGUCUGAGAGGAUGAUCAGCCACACUGGGACGAGGACACGGCCCGGACUCUUAGGCGAUGCGGGCGUGCCGAAUAUUGCACUGCCGGCUGCAGGCUGAACCAGUAAUGCCUCUUGAGUGCUGAUGUCCGUAGGGUUGUAGAUCUCUUUUACCCGCGAUGAUAAUGACAGUACCGGAAGAAUAAGCACCGGCUAACUCCGUG
rnacentral:rRNA from 1 species